UCACAUCUUCCUUCACCAGAGUGCUUAUGCUUUGUGCCAGAUGCUACUUUACAUAGGUUUGCAGACGGAUGUCACUAACAUUCACUCUUUUCGGCACUCUUGGACCUAUGGUCUGAAGUACAACAAAUAACUGAAUGCUGCUUUAUAUUACAUAUUCGCAGUCAUAGCGUGAUGCCCGAUGUCACUUUCUAGCUGCCUUUGCAAUGCUAGAGGAGCAGACCUGUAAGCUAGUUCACAGGUUAAACACGAAGCAAGGGAGAUGAAGGUAAUAAAGGUAGGACCCUCGUAAYGAGACCAGAGACCCUCACUGGUGGCCGUGUAUGCGCACACCAGGGAAAGUUGCAUAAUGAUAAAGGUGGAGCUUUGCCCKCCCCCUGGUCGCCUCCUGACACGUACGGGCCCUACGUGACAGGACACGCCAGAUAUAAAACAAUUGUGGAUCUGAGACGGGGAGAGACUCCAACUGAGACCUACGUUGUCUCUGCGGGGACGCCCGCAAGCUUGGAGCCUGUCGGCCACCUCGACCAUAGGAAGAAUGACCAGUCUCACUAUCUGGCUAGAAAAUAUUCUCUCUUAAGUAAUUGCCCUGUAGCUGCUUCAUUUUGCAGGGAGUUGCUAAGUAAUCAUUAUGCUUUAGUGUGUGAGAAAUUAAAACGGACAAUGAGCCAGGCUAUCUGGCCCAGUCUACACAACUGUUAUUAUAAUUUAGAUAUAGAUAUAUAGGUAUAUAGGUAUAUAGAUACAGAUAUAAGAUAUAGAUACAGAUAUAGAUAGACAUGCUACACUACAGAAUCACGCUGUUAUUGAUUUUGCUUUUAGGACAAGAGCAUGGAUGUGAAGACUUUGAGGGGAAAUUAAUGAUUGUGAAAUUGGGAAUUGAUAAAUGGCAAAAAGGCKUGGACUUAACAUAAUGAUUUUUGGAUUUGUUCAAAUAAGGGUUAAUGAUUCUGAUCACUAUUGUAACAAUGCACAUAGCCUUGUCUCUAAGGUGGCCUUGAGGAGAGAAAGAACAAGGAGCMCAUUGAAGAAGUGAGMCAAGAAGAGAGGGAUGCAAGGGGGGAGCACUCAGAAAUGAACUGACCAACCGACAACAAAGCAAGGACGCCUGCUCUCCUCAAACAUGUUGUUUUGCAGAAGGCAGAAUAAGUGAAUAAGUGGGAUGAAAUCCCAUAUGUAGAUUUGUUGCUUUUUCUGAGAAAUGAUCAUGAAAUUAAGAAAGAAAUGUAAAUAGAUGGUAUUUGAUUUGAAGAUGUUAGAAGGAAAUGUGAUUUUUGGUAACUGAUUUGAAUGAUUGUGGAGGACAAAAAGAAGGUAUCUCAGUUUUGUUUGGCUUGCAGUACAGAGAAAAAUGUUUGAAAGACUAUUUGUAAGUGGAUGAUGAGGAAGAAGAUGUGCAAUUGUUGGUCUACUGGGAAAAAAGGGGAUUGAUGAGACUGGGAUCAAAUAUGGGGGUGCGUAAGUUGAUGUUUAAACAAUAUCAGCAGUUAAUAUUACAUGGAGUAAAGCAYGCAGUGCUUGGACCUGUUGUAAAACUAUAUCAAGUUGUACAAGUUAAGGCUGAGGAUCCCCCUACUUUUUCAAGUAAUUUUGUGAGAUUGCUGAAAAAUGAACAGACUUGGAUCUUGAAGACGAAGCUGAACAACAGAUUGAUGACAACUGGGACCCAUUUGCACAGUGCAAAUGGGCAUCGCUUUGGUUACAAAAGCUGUUGCUAGAAYUGUUUUUCUUGCUUAURGUGUUCAUUUGUAUUACAGGUUGUAUUCCUUGUGUAAUUGCAUUGCUAUGUAGAAUGAUUGAAACUACCAUGCUAGGGGUACCUACCCAGGUUAAAACAGAUAAUGGGCCAAGCCAUUGUUGAGUGUGCCCAUGGCACCCUGAAAACUAUGCUAAAAACAGAAAGGAGGAGUAGGGACUGCUACCCCUGAGGAAUGUCUACAGAAAGCCUUAUAUGUUUUUAACUUUUUGAAUUGUUCUUUAAUAGAUAAUAAUCCCCYGAUAGUUCGACAUUUUAAUGCAAAUUCUUCACUUGAAGCACAAAUUAAAGCUCCGGUGCUCGUAUGAGAUCCCGAAACAUAAAAAGGCCCUCGAUGGAUUCCAGCAAAAAGUGUGCGGCCUUUCCGUGAAUCAUUACCACGAUCAUCGGACAAUGAACUGGACCACKCCCAAGACAGACCUCCUGAGCAGCAAGCUAGUGAAUCUUUCUAAGAGAACUGGAGGGUUCUUGUUGUGCAACAGGAAGGGGGAGAUGUGGGCCAGGACUYGACCAACCUUGAGAGGGCCUCAAGCAUAGUGCCRUUGUUGGAGCAAGAUGUGCUGGAACUUGUCAGCCAUAAGCCCUGGGAAAGACAAGAUAAGCCUGGGUCGUCCUGACUAAAGGCAGUUGUAGAAGGGAGUAUUGUUUCAAGGUUGUAGAUAAACUUAGUCUGCUUUAAGUCUGCCGAUAGGACUUAA